GAGAGAGAGAAAGAGAGAGAGAGACAAGAGAGAGAAAUAGGCUAAUGGAUUUUGGACCUUUUGGUCACUGGGGGGAAAUUUUUUUUUGGCAUGAUUGUUAAAUUUAGGGUUUGGGAUUGAAUGAAGUGAUAGAGAGAGAAAUAGACACUGAGUAGGGUUUAAGGUUUUGCCGUGAAGGAGGAGAAGGAGAGGGAGCGGAGAAUUACUGCCUGCUUCGCCUCGACCUGACCAUACAAAUUCCGAAUCAAAUGUUAUGUUGUCCACAGAUGUUU
rnacentral:misc_RNA from 1 species